CCGGCCCAAUGCUGUUUUUUUUUUUUUUUUUUUUUUAAUUACUUGCAUUCAUCCUGUGGUUUCCAUCCCAGCUCAUGGCAUCCUGCCCAGGGUAUCACUAACUCCCUCCUCACUUCCUGCCACAGCCUCUUCCCUCUCCCUUUUCUAAGGUUCUCACACACGGCUGCCAGGUUCCUCACCUGAAGGAGAACCCUGAUCACCUCCUGGGGAUGGGCUCUUCUCGAGCAUGGCUUCCAAGUACCCAGAUUCACAGUCUGGAGUGCAGUGGUGCAAUCAUGGCUCACUGCAACCUUGACCUCUCUGGGCUCAGGUGAUCCUCCCACCUCAGACUACUGUGCAGCUGGGACUACAGAGGCUUCCUCCUUGAAGAGUCUACAACAGACCUGAUACCAUAAUUGGGCACACAUCCUUCUGAAAUUCCUUCUAGAAAAUGAUUUAAUCUACUAAGAAAGCCCACAUUUGAAUUCAUUCAUUCCAAAAAGAGUCUCCAUCCACUUCCUAGGUUUUGAGCUCUUUUUAUGAGUCCAUGGAAGCUGCCGUGGUUUUCUCUGAGUCCAUGGCCAUAUUUUCCCUCUGGGUUCUUGUUUCUUUUAAGUCUUAUACCUCUAUUAGUAUUAAAGAUCAUCAGCUGU
rnacentral:lncRNA from 1 species